CCCAUGUUUACAAAAGGAAUGUCCAGUAUUUUUGGUGUCUUUCGGUGAUACUUUUACACAUUAGAACAACUGAAUAAAAUCUCCUUUCAAUUAACUAUCGAUAUAUCUAUUAUUUUACGUAAGACUGAGUCCCAAUGUUAUUGCAAUUCGGUAGCAAAGAUGUUGACAUCACAUGUCGUCUGAUGAUGAGUUUUACAGGAUCGAAUAAGGUUUGGUCAUUGUAUUCCCUGAAAGGAACAAGAGGAGAAAAGAAACUGGAAGACCUGCAUGCCUAUCCGCAGCCCAAUGCUGGCUGCAGGUCAAUAUCGAAUGCUUUUAUGAAAACUCAUAAGACAAUAACAAAAAAAAGAAGCUGAGGAUGCUGUUUUUGAAACAUGUUCCAUUCAAAAAUGGUGGAUUGAAAUUUAAGAAAGGUGUGACGGGUGCGGCUACUGCAGGCAGGGAGGAUUUGACGGUCAGCCAGAGGAUUUGGAGAUAUACUGUAAUGUCUUUAAUGUGGACUUGCGUGUGAUUUAAGUUUUCACAAGGGUUUUAGUGUGUGUGAUAGUAUGUCAGUUUUCAAAAUUGAGCUAUGACAAUUUGCUCAAACUACAUAACUCAAAGAACUUUGAAGCGGUCUUG